AUACGUAGGUGGCAAGCGUUGUCCGGAUUUACUGGGUGUAAAGGGCGCGUAGGCGGUUAUCCAAGUCAGGGGUGAAAACCUUGGGCUCAACUCAGGGCCUGCCUCUGAAACUGGGUAACUUGAGGGCAGGAGAGGGGAGUGGAAUUCCCAGUGUAGCGGUGAAAUGCGUAGAUAUUGGGAGGAACACCAGUGGCGAAGGCGGCUCUCUGGCCUAACCCUGACGCUGAGGCGCGAAAGCGUGGGGAUCAAACAGGAUUAGAUACCCUGGUAGUCCACGCCGUAAACGAUGGGUGCUAGGUGUAGGAGGUAUCGACCCCUUCUGUGCCGUAGUUAACACAAUAAGCACCCCGCCUGGGGAGUACGGCCGCAAGGUUGAAACUCAAAUGAAUUGACGGGG
rnacentral:rRNA from 1 species